UACAGAGGUCUCAAGCGUUGUUCGGAUUCAUUGGGCGUAAAGGGUGCGUAGGCGGCGCGGUAAGUCGGGUGUGAAAUCUCGGAGCUUAACUCCGAAACUGCAUUCGAUACUGCCGUGCUUGAGGACUGGAGAGGAGACUGGAAUUUACGGUGUAGCGGUGAAAUGCGUAGAGAUCGGGAGGAACACCAGCGGCGAAGGCGGCCCCCUGGGCCGCUCCUGACGCUGAGACGCGAAGGCCAGGUAGCGAACGGG
rnacentral:rRNA from 1 species